rnacentral:rRNA from 1 species
CCCUUAGAUGUCCGGGGCUGCACGCGCGCUACACUGAAGGAAUCAGCGUGCUAAAACCAUUGUCGAAAGGCAUUGGUAAACCCAUUAAAAUCCUACGUGAUUGGGAUCGGGAAUUGCAAUUAUUUCCCUUGAACGAGGAAUUCCCAGUAAGUGUGGGUCAUAAGCUCGCGUUGAUUACGUCCCUGCCCUUUGUACACACCGCCCGUCGCUGCCCGGGACUGAGCCGUUUCGAGAAAAGCGGGGACUGCUGCUGUCGGGGCUUUCGGGCCUUGGCUUCGGUGGAAACCGCUUUAAUCGCAGUGGCUUGGACCGGGCAAAAGUCGUANCA